rnacentral:rRNA from 2 species
GUUGUGAGGUUAAGCGACUAAGCGUACACGGUGGAUGCCCUGGCAGUCAGAGGCGAUGAAGGGCGUGCUAAUCUGCGAUAAGCGCCGGUAAGGUGAUAUGAACCGUUAUAACCGGCGAUACCCGAAUGGGGAAACCCAGUGUGAUUCGUCACACUAUCAUUAACUGAAUCCAUAGGUUAAUGAGGCGAACCGGGGGAACUGAAACAUCUAAGUACCCCGAGGAAAAGAAAUCAACCGAGAUUCCCCCAGUAGCGGCGAGCGAACGGGGAGGAGCCCAGAGCCUGAAUCAGCAUGUGUGUUAGUGGAAGCGUCUGGAAAGGCGCGCGAUACAGGGUGACAGCCCCGUACACAAAAGCGCAUGUGCUGUGAGCUCGAUGAGUAGGGCGGGACACGUGGUAUCCUGUCUGAAUAUGGGGGGACCAUCCUCCAAGGCUAAAUACUCCUGACUGACCGAUAGUGAACCAGUACCGUGAGGGAAAGGCGAAAAGAACCCCGGCGAGGGGAGUGAAAAAGAACCUGAAACCGU